UAGCUCAGUUGGUUAGAGCGCAGGAUUCAUAACCCUGAGGUCACGGGUUCAACUCCC
rnacentral:tRNA from 1 species